rnacentral:rRNA from 1 species
AUGGGGAAGAUAAAUUGGAUCCGGCUAAUUCAGUUCGGAAGACCAGGGAGGCUCUUGCACUUCUGGAUGUCCCCCGGCGCCAGGUUUUUGUACUACCCGGGCAUGGGUGGCGCCCCUGACUCCGGUCUCAUGAUAAUCAACAUUGAUGCUGAUGUGCGGCAUGAGGAAGGGAAAGGUGUGAUGGAUCCUCUCAUCGCGGAGGUGAUGGCAGUGCAAGACGGUGUCAUCUUCGCCAAGCUGAGGGGCUUUACGAGCGUCAUCCUCGAGAUGAAUUGUCUGGAGUUCUUGCAGAUAGUUCAUGAUGAAUCCAAAACUGCUUAUGUGGGCCUCAGCCCACGUCUGAAUCGCGUGCGCGAUCGCCUGAUAUGUAUCGCAACGGGCGAUACAUAUCAGUUGGGUUCUCCGACCCUAUCUGUUACAUUGUGGACAGCUCCAAUAUCCGGUGGCUCGCCGCCGCCCGGUUGCCUCACGUUCCGGCCGGCGAGGUUAGCCCAACGCGAUGCUAGUGCGUUCCGGGACCGGAACGCCUCAGGGCUGGGCUCGGCCAGGUCCGCGCCCUCCUCCCGUGCAUCUACACGCUGCAGCAGGAGCAGCAGCAGGGCGCCGCAGGAGCAGCAGCAGCGUCUAUGGGGAAGCGCUGCGGCGAGAUCCUUACCGCAGAAGGACAUAGCCGAGGAGAACUUCCUGUUGCUGGAUUGCUAUGGUUCAUCAAGUGCUUACAUGGUCAAAAUAUUCAACAAGGCGCUCGAAAAGAGCCGACGAGCCGUGAUGAUGAAUGGGGACAUUGCUGAGGUCAACGAUGCUGUUGGAGCUGAAGCUGUGAAUGGUGCUGUGCUUACAUUGGUUGACAAUGUUGAUGUGGUUCGGGAUCAGGGAGCUCAGGGGACAGCGUCUCAGAAGCUGGCGAUGCUCGUUCUCUCGUUUAGAGGAGGUUGUUCUAACAUGUUUGCCAGUGCAACUAAUUUUCAGGGAGUGCUAAUGUUCAUCAAGGUGCUUACAUGGUCGAAAGGAGCACUGCAGCUGCGAUGCUUGCGUGAGCUCGCUGCCGCCCGUCCUGCCCCCGUGGUCAACGGUGCAUGCCCGAAGGCCCGCACCCGAUGUGGUGCUCGAGCAGGGAGUCGCCGUCUCCUUCCUCAGCCACGGCAACCACCUUGCUCACUGGCUGCUGCAGCUCCUACAUCGAUGGCGGCUCGAGCGCAGAGGCAGCGGCACCAGCUGGAUUGGAGCGGGGAGAACAGAUCUGAGUGUGGAAGUCGCCGGCGGCUCGGUUGCCGUCGCCCGUCCCGACCCCAGCCGAGGCAAGGGCCGUCGUCGCUGUUGCCGCAUCGAGGGAAGGCAGAGGACGCCGCCAGUCCCGCCCCCGGCCGAGGGGCGGCCUUCCGCCACGCGCCAAGGACGCCGUGCAUCGCCGGGGUCGCCGACCUCAUCCAAGUCCAGCCGGCGCUCGCGGCCGUCGCUCGCGGCGGAGGAGCACGAAACCGAUGUAUAGAGAGGGCGGCGACUCGAUUCUUGCCGGAUCUGGGUGAGGGCUGGUCAACGGCGGUGAAUUUCGUGGAGCUCAGGGGCAAUGGUGAUGGGCGGCGCGGCGCUGCUGCAUGUUGCUGGCUCGGGGGCAGAGAGAGAAAUCAGGAUGAAAUGCUGACAACUGGGCUCCAUGUCCAGUAA